UCAUUGAAGUUAAGCAACGUCGAGCCUGGUCAGUACUUUGAUGGGUGACCGCUUGGGAAUACCAGGUGCUGUAAG